AGAAUUGUUAAGUAGAUGACAAAUGUAUUAUAUAAGUGGAAAUGGAUGAUAUCAUGUUGCAUUAGUAUAAUUAAUGUCUCAUCGAGUGAAUUAUUUUCUCCAAGAGAACAAUUUGGUGGGCCUUGCUCCUGAUUCGGGUGAUCUUGGUGUUGCCGUCUAAGUCCUUCAAAUCCACAACAAAAUAAAGCAUGAUUGUGGUUGCAAUGAAGUGUUUGAUAUUGGAUGGUGGAGGCCACCUGAACAAGAAAGUUAUUUGACCGAUAGACGCCAAAGUUAAUUCUCUUUGUUGAUCAACGACG
rnacentral:lncRNA from 1 species